GCUCCCAUAGUCUAGUCCGGUCAAGGCGUAUGAAGAUUCGAAGAAUCUUCUUUGCGGCUAUGGAUGCGGCCCUCUCGAGGCCGAGACACGGGUUCAAAUCCCGUUGGGAGCA
rnacentral:tRNA from 1 species